rnacentral:rRNA from 1 species
GACGAACGCUGGCGGCGUGCUUAACACAUGCAAGUCGAACGGAAAGGCCCUGCUUUUGUGGGGUGCUCGAGUGGCGAACGGGUGAGUAACACGUGAGUAACCUGCCCUUGACUUUGGGAUAACUUCAGGAAACUGGGGCUAAUACCGGAUAGGAGCUCCUGCUGCAUGGUGGGGGUUGGAAAGUUUCGGCGGUUGGGGAUGGACUCGCGGCUUAUCAGCUUGUUGGUGGGGUAGUGGCUUACCAAGGCUUUGACGGGUAGCCGGCCUGAGAGGGUGACCGGCCACAUUGGGACUGAGAUACGGCCCAGACUCCUACGGGAGGCAGCAGUGGGGAAUAUUGCACAAUGGGCGGAAGCCUGGUGCAGCAACGCCGCGUGCGGGAUGACGGCCUUCGGGUUGUAAACCGCUUUCGCCUGUGACGAAGCGUGAGCGACGGUAAUGGGUAAAGAAGCACCGGCUAACUACGUG